rnacentral:rRNA from 1 species
AGUGAACGCUGGCGGUAGGCCUAACACAUGCAAGUCGAACGGCAGCACAGUAAUAGCUUGCUCUUACGGGUGGCGAGUGGCGGACGGGUCAGGUAUACAUCGGAAUCUACUUUUUCGUGGGGGUUAACGUAGGGAAACUUACUCUCAUACCGCAUACGACCUACGGGUGAAAGCAGUGGAUCUUCUGACCUUGCGCGAUUGAAUGCGCCGAUGUGGGAUUAGCUAGUUGGCGGGGUAAAGGCCCACCAAGGCGCCGAUCCGUAGCUGGUCUGAGAGGAUGGUCAGCGGCACUGGAGCUGGGACAGGGUCAAGACUCCUGAGGGAGGCAGCAGUGGGGAAUGUUGGACAAUAGGCGGAAGCCUGGUACAGCGAUAGCGCGUGUGAUAAAGAGGCCUUCGGGGUGGAAAGCCGUUUUGUUGGGAAAAAAAAGCAUCCGGCUAAGACCCCGCUGGACUGACGGUACCCAGAGAAUAAGCACCGGCUAACUUCGUG